rnacentral:rRNA from 1 species
UACGGGGGGGGCAAGCGUUGUUCGGAAUUACUGGGCGUAAAGGGCUCGUAGGCGGCCAACUAAGUCAGACGUGAAAUCCCUCGGCUUAACCGGGGAACUGCGUCUGAUACUGGAUGGCUUGAGUUUGGGAGAGGGAUGCGGAAUUCCAGGUGUAGCGGUGAAAUGCGUAGAUAUCAGGAGGAACACCAAUAGCGAAGGCAGCUCGCUGGGACGUUACUGACACUGAGGCGCGAAAGCGUGGGGAGCGAACAGG